GACGAACGCUGGCGGCGUGCUUAACACAUGCAAGUCGAGCGGUAAGGCCCUUCGGGGGUACACGAGCGGCGAACGGGUGAGUAACACGUGGGUGACCUGCCCUCAGCUCUGGGAUAAGCCUGGGAAACCGGGUCUAAUACUGGAUAUGGACUCCAUGACGCAUGUUGUGGGGUGGAAAGCCUUGUGCGGCUGAGGAUGGGCCCGCGGCCUAUCAGCUUGUUGGUGGGGUGAGUGGCCUACCCAAGGCGGCGACGGGUAGCCGGCCUGAGAGGGCGACCGGCCACACUGGGACUGAGACACGGCCCAGACUCCUACGGAGGCAGCAGUGGGGAAUCUUGCGCAAUGGGCGAAAGCCUGACGC
rnacentral:rRNA from 1 species